GCUUAGAAACUAUGUGAGCUGUAAGCUGGGGAAAUCAUUUGUUAUAUAUUAUUUUUUUUUUUCAUCUCUCAGGAAACAAUCUUGUAGGGAUGGGUUCUUGCUGUGAUGCCCAGGCUAGCAUCAAACUCUUGGCCUUAAGUGAUGAUGCCAUCUCAGCCUGCUAAGUACUACUAUGACAGACGUGAGCCACCAUUCUCAGCCACUUUAAUUGUAUUAUCUCCACAUUUUUACUUUUCCAGAAUACCGUAUAUUUGGAAUUAUACAGUAUGUCUUUUUUUAAGAUUGUCUUCUUUCAGUUAAUAAUAUACAUUUAAGUUUUGUCCAUAUAUUUUUAUGGCUUUACAGUUUUUUUAAUGCUAAAUAAUAUUUGAUAAGGUUUGGCUGUGUCCCCAUCCAGAUCUCAUCUUGAAUUGUAACUCCCACAGUUCCCACAUGUCAUAGGAGGAAUCUGGUGGGAGGUAAUUGAAUCAUGGGGGAAGGUCUUUCCUGUGCUGUUCUUGUGACAGUGAAUAUGUCUCAUGAGAUUUUAUGGUUUUAAAAAUGGGAUUUUCCCUGCACAAGCUCUCUUUGCCUGCUGCCAUCUAUGUAAGAUGUGACUUGCUCCUCCUUGACUUCUUCCAUGAUUGUGAGGCCUCCCCAGCCACACGGAAGUGUAAGACCAUUAAACCCUUUUCCUGUAUAAAUUAUGCAGUCUUGGGUAUGUCUUUAUCAGCAGUGUGAAAAUGGAAAAAUACAAUAUUUCAUUGUCUGGAUGUACCACAGUUUAUGUAUCAAUCUACUAAAGGACAUCUUGGUUGCUUCAAACUUUUGGCAAUCAUAAAUAAAGUUGCCAUAAACAUCCAUGUGCAGGAUUUUGUGUGGAUAUAGUUUUCAGCUCUUUUGGGUAAAUGCCAAGUGGCAUGAUUGGCAUUUCUACCAAAGAUGAGUAAGUUUCUGUUUCAUCACACCCUGGCCAGUAUUUGGUGCUGUGUUUUGAAUUUUGGCCAUUCUAAUUGGUGUGCAGCAGCAUCUCACUGUUGUUUGAGUUUGCAAUUCCCUAAUGACAUAAGAUGUUGAAUAUCUUUUCAUAUGAUCAUUUACCUUAUCUGUAUCUUCUUUG
rnacentral:lncRNA from 1 species